AAACUAGAAACGUUAUAUGUUGUUAUUAUUGGUUUUAGGUCAAGAUAAAACCUGGUUUUACUUCAAGAUAUAGCUGUUAUACUGCUUAAAUAUUAUGAAGUUAGAAGUAAUGUUUAAAAGCAUAGUCUAGUAACUUAGGGUUUUAGACAUGAAGAUUCUUUUGUUGUUAGAGGUAUAGGAAGCCGUCAAAGUCUACAUGAGUAAUUGUAUUCAUCAACUAAGAUUGGGGAUCUUAGUGGAAAUCCUCUGAACUGUAACCGUUAAUCUCGUGUGAGCGAGGAAGUCGUGUAUAAUUAGUAUACGGGUUGACCACCCCACUUGUGACUGUUAGCUACAGUCAACCAAAAGCAAGUGAUGAACUAUCCUUUUAUUUGUUAUUGUUCCAGCGUCGAUGAAGCGUACGGUGUUUUUUCUCAUAGUAAAUCAUGAGUGUGUUUGUUUCUCAUGGUAAAUCAUGAGUAUGUUCUAUCAGAGGUAUUAUGUCAUAGCAGCGGUUACAGGCUCAUGGUAGCAAAUUGUUAGAAACAUUAUACCUUUUCGUAUACAAGUAUUAAUGUUAAGUAUAAGUUUUCCCUUAGUUAUACCUUAGGAUUAAGAAAUGUUUAUGUAUAACACUCAAUUGAUAAGUAUACUAUUAUACCUAAUAUACAUACUAAAUGUUGGAGAUUCAAAAUGAUACUUUCAAAACUAUACUUUUGAAUGUGUGAAAAUGUAUUAUUUUAUGGAGUCAAAACCUGUGGACUCACCAACUUUAUGUUGACGUAUUUUUAAAAUGCAUGUGUUUUCAGGAACUUGAAAAGCUAGUAUGUAUUCGAACAGGAGAAGUUUUACUAUUAUCUUUCUGUUUAUUAAGAAGUAUGCCAAAGUCGGAUAUUAUGUAAUAAAUACUAGGAAAACAAUAAUGUAACUUACAAUCAUCAAUAAAGGUAUGUAUUUUCUUUAGUAUUGUUCAAUGUAUGUUAUAUAACUGUGAUACGAAAAAUGACGUUACACUACCCGGUGUUUCCGCCAACGGCCGGGGUGUGACAGAUUGGUAUUAGUGCUAUUAACUAUAGUGAACUGGUACUUUCUUAGGAAAACACGUCUAUAGUAUUAGGACUUACUCUAUUAGGUUUAGGUAUAUCCCUUAGCCUAUAAAUAAUAAGUAUUAUUAAUUAUUCUACUGAAGGACUACUUACGGGAGCAGUGACAAGGAUAGACAUGUCGAUUUGGGUUGGUGGAUUUCAGAACGGCUAUAUGCUAAAAUGAUCCUGCCCUCUCGACAGUCCUGACUGGCCGGAGCCUUAUUAGAUAGACCUAAGGUAACAAACAAUAGUAAAAGCGUGAAUACAAUAAAUAAGAAUAUAGAGUCAUAUAUAAAGACUCAGGCCCGCGAUGAGAAUACACCUUAAUACCCGGAAUGUUUUUGAUCUCAAGGAUUUAGAUCAAAUAUUCCAACUAAAUUUUAUAUGUGCAUAAAUCCUAUCAUAACUAGGUGUAGGUGCACAACUACAUUUUAUUAUGAUCAGAUCAUAUGAACUAUUUAAUUUGGGAGAAAUAUUUGAUAGAAUAAACUCUUGGAGAUCCAAACUGUAUAGGAAUCCGACAUGGCACAUUCAUGUGAAUGGAUAAUCAUCGAGGAUACAGAUGAAGAAGAGGAAGUUUCAUUCCCUAUGAUGGUAGGCGAUCCUUACUACCCUGUAACUCCAACCACCUUUCAUCCAAUACCUUCUGACGAUGGAGCACCUUUACCCUCCAACGAAUGGGAAGAGAGUGAACCAAUGGAAGAAAGCGAAUCCAUGGAGGAGACAGAGUCGGUGGCAUCAUCUCUACCACCACUGAACACUCUUUACCGUAAAGUUCCAGGAGGAGUAAAAAUGAAACGCACUGCACGUAAAUCUAUACCGAUAUGGAAAAAGCUUAAGAAGAGUCAGAAGGCAACAUCUUCAGGAAGUCAUAGAGUUCAAGAUGAACCUGCACGAAUCGCACAAACAGUUGAUAGAUGGGUGGCAGAAGAAAAAUCUGCCAAGAUGUAUGAGACUGGUCAGUCAUCUCGACCACAUCUCCCAAAUUCUUCUAAAGAUAACACUUUAUCUCAAUUGUUUGAGAAAAGUGUGAAAAUUGAACAUAAGAUGGAAAUUGUCGAAAGGAGGGCUACUCAUCUCUCUGGAAGAGUGCGAAGGCUAGAAGGACAAAGGACACGAGAUCAGGAAUCGAUGAUGGAUGUCCAUCAUCGUAUAAAUUUUGCUUAUAAUGACAUGAUUGCUUACGAUGCCAGGAUUGCAGAGUUAGAGCUCUACAAUCAAACCUCAAGAAAUGAAGAACGCACGGGAAGUCUUGCGCAGAGAACUCAAGCACUUAAAGAGCAAGUGGUUAAUGUCACUGACGUGCUGGGUCAACACUUAGGGUUCUCAUAGAUAAGCUACAACUAGUGGUUAUGUAAAUAGAGAAAAUCAGACUAGUUAAGGCGAAAAGAGGAAAGUUUAUAGCAAGGAUGUAGAAAACCUUGCAAAUUGUGCGAUGUUUAUAGAAACUUUUCUCUUAUAAACCUAAAUAAACUGAUGUAACCACUGGUAAUAAUAUGAAGCAUACGUUACAGUAAUCAUUAUGUUGUCUAUUAUGUUUUACGCUGUGAAUAAUAACUAGAAUAUUUAGUACUCGUGUAUUAAAUGAUUAACAAAACUCAUUAAAAUUCUUAUUAUUUAUAAUAGGAACUAAAACAAAAUGCCUAGAAGGAGUAAACGGCUAAACCCUAACCGACCAUCAGCACCACAACAACAACAACAACAACCACAACCACCACCAGAAACAAACCCCUCAAUAAGUACAGUGCAACUUGAAGAAAUCGUAGCUCAAAGAAUUGUUGCGGCUCUAUCUAAUGUCACAAGAGAUGGAGUUAGAAAUGAAGGCCAUGUAGGGACCGCUAGAACAUGUACCUACAAAGAUUUUAUGAAUUGCAGGCCAAAAAUCUUUCAUGGAAAUGAAGUGGUAGUGAAUUUGACAAGGUGGAUAGAAAAGACAAAUCCGUCUUUCAAAUAAGCUUUUGUCCAGAUGAUUGUAAAGUACGAUUUGCAGCAUGUACUUUCGCUAACGCAACACUUACAUGGUGGAAUAGCCAGAAUACAACGGGAAUUGAUACUACAAAUUCCAUGAAAUGGGAGGAGCUAAAAAUGAUGCUAGUAGAGGAGUAUUGUCCUAGGGAGGAGAUACAUAAACUGGAACAAGAACUGUGGACCCUAACCAUGAAAGGUUCACAGAUAAAAGCUUAUACCGCUAGAUUUAAUGAUCUUGUUGUAACGUGUCUAGCACUUGUAACCCCUGAAUAUAAAAAGAUUAAGCGAUAUAUCUGGGGUUUAGCAUCGCAAAUCAAAGGCAUGGUGAUCACAUCAAAGCCUACGACUUAUGACAGCACCAAGAGGAUAGCCAGCUAACCCNCACAGAGAUCCAAGGAACAGAAGUGGUCUCAAAGGCUGAGUCUCCCAAAUAUAGAAAAAAAAAAAGCGCAAGUUUAAUAGGAAGAACCCCAAACAAUCAUCUGAGAAAAGACAUGAAGUGGCAACCAACUACGCAACCACAACAGCAGUACCUACUCAACAAAAAUCUUCAUGGUGCAAUCAAUGCAACUGUCAUCAUCUAGGUGACUGUUUUGAUUGCAUGAAGUGCAAGAAAAAGGGGCAUAUUGCUAGUUACUGCAGGAGCACAACACCUGCAACAGUCGAUCAACAAACCAAUAACGGGACAGGCUGUGGUGAAGGAAGAAAUUGCUACGAGUGUGGGGAGGUUGGACAUAUCAAGAAAGAAUGUCCUAAGUUAAGGAGUCAAGGAGGCAUAGGACGUGGUAGGGCGUUUGUGAUUGGAAGCAGAGAGGCUAUCCAGGACCCUUCGGUCGUAUCUGGUACGUUUCUUUGAGAUAAUUUAUAUGCUUCUAUACUCUUUGACUCUGGAGCAGAUCGAAGUUUUAUAACUCCGACAUUUAGAAAAUUGUUAAGUCAUAAGUCUAGCAUAUUAAAAGAAAUCUAUGAAGUAGAAAUUGCUAAUGGUCAAACUGAGAAAACACAUGAAAUCCUAGAAAACUGUCUGUUAACUCUUAAUAACUACCUUUUUCACGUCAACCUGAUGCCAAUGCCUAUUGGUAGUUUUGAUGUUAUAAUUGGCAUGGAUUGGUUAUCUUCACACCGCGCCGAAAUUCUAUGUCAUGAGAAAGCCAUACGACUACCCUUACCAAACGGCGAAGCUCUGAUUAUCUAUGGCGAUAAAUCUGGGAAGAACCUCAAAGUCAUCUCUUGUACUAAAACCCAUAAAUAUCUACAUAAGAAAUGUAGCGCAUUCUUAGCUCACAUUGUAGAUAGGAAGAGAAAGACAAAAGAAAUCAAGGACAUACCUCAAGUAUGUGAUUUCCCUGACGUGUUUCCUGAAGAUCUACCUAGAAUACCUCCCGUCCGACAAGUUGAGUUUCAAAUCGACUUAAUUCCAGGAGCAAUACCAGUAGCAAAAUCUCCUUAUUGGUUGGCUCCAUCUGAAAUGCAAGAAUUGUCUAGCCAACUACAAGAACUUCUUGACAAAGGCUUUAUCCGACCAAUUUUUUCACCUUGGGGAGCACCAAUCUUAAUUGUCAAGAAGAAGGAUGGAUCCUUUCGAAUGUGUAUUGAUUAUCGGGAGCUGAACAAGCUAACGAUCAAGAAUCGUUAUCCACUUCCAAGAAUUGAUGAUUUAUUCGAUCAACUGCAAGGAUCUAGCGACUACUCAAAGAUAGAUCUUAGAUCAGGAUACCAUCAACUCAGAGUACAAGAAGACGACAUUCCAAAAGCAGCAUUUAGAACUCGUUAUGGUCAUUAUGAGUUCUUAGUUAUGUCUUUUGGAUUAACCAAUGCCCCAGCAGUGUUUAUGGAUCUCAUGAAUCGUGUUUGCAAACCAUACUUGGAUAAAUUCGUGAUCGUAUUUAUCGAUGAUAUAUUGAUAUAUUCACGAACCAAGGAAGAACAUGGUCAACACCUGCAAAUAAUCUUGGAACUACUAAGAAAAGAAAAGUUGUACACUAAAUUCUCCAAAUUUGAGUUUUGGAUUAGCGAAGUACAAUUUUUAGGUCAUGUAGUUAGCAACGAAGGGAUUCAUGUUGACCCAUCCAAAGUUGAAGCAAUCAGGAAUUGGGAAGCACCAAAGACGCCAACAGAGGUGCGUCAAUUCCUAGGACUUGCUAGCUAUUACCGAAGAUUCAUAAAGAAUUUCUCCAAAAUAGCCAAGCCAAUUACAACACUAACCCAGAAAAAUAUGAAGUUCAACUGGGAAGACAAACAAGAAGCUACUUUUCAGAAACUGAAGCAAAUGUUGUGUAGUGCACCAAUCCUAACCCUUCCAGAUGGAACAGAAGAUUUCGUCGUGUACUGCGACGCAUCAAAUCAAGGAUUAGGAUGUGUGUUGAUGCAGAUAGGAAAAGUUAUCGCCUAUGCAUCACGAAAACUGAAGAUGCAUGAGAAUAAUUACACUACCCUUGAUCUUGAAUUGGGAGUUGUAGUUUUUGCACUAAAAAUUUGGAGACAAUACUUAUACGGUACUAAGUGUACUAUUUUUACCGACCACAAGAGUCUCCAACACAUCUUCGACCAAANAAUAUGAGACAAAGAAGAUGGGUUGAAUUGUUGAAUGAUUACGAUUGUGAGAUUCGUUAUCAUCCAGGAAAAGCAAACGUGGUAGUACAUGCCUUGAGCAGGAAAGAAUAUAUUAAACCCCGACGGGUACGAGCAUUAACUAUAACUAUCCAUUCUAACUUUACCGCACAAAUUAGAAAAGCUCAGCUUGAUGCUCUAAAAGAAGAAAACAUCAAGAACGAAGCUUUGCAUGGAAUGGAAAAGCAACUUAUACGAAAAGAUGACGGAAUACAAUACUUUAUGAACCGAGUUUGGACGCCUAGGUUUGGUAAAAUCAAGGACUUGGUCUUAGAAGAAGCCCACAAGUCCAGAUAUUCUGUGCAUCCAGGUUCUGACAAAAUGUAUGUAGAUUUAAAGUACAUUAUUGGUGGCCAAACAUGAAGGNGCUACUUAUGUGAGCAGAUAUUUGACUUGUUCUUGAGUGAAGGCAGAACAUCAAAAGCCUUCAGGUUUACUUCAACAAUCGGAAAUACCUGAAUGGAAAUGUGAGCAGAUAUCAAUGGACUUCAUCACUAAGUUACCUAAAACUCCUAGUGGGUCCGACACUAUUUGGGUGAUAGUUGAUAGAUUGACUAAAUCUGCCCAUUUCUUACCAAUUAAGGAGAACGACAAGAUGGAGAAACUGACUAGAGUUUAUCUUAAGGAAAUUGUCAGAUUGCAUGGAGUUCCAAAUUCUAUUAUUUCUGACCGUGAUAGUAGAUUCACUUCACGAUUUUGGCAAUCUCUACAAAAAUCCUUAGGAACACGUCUAGACAUGAGUACAACUUACCAUCCACAGACUGAUGGUCAGAGUGAGAGAACCAUUCAGACUUUAGAAGAUAUGCUCCGAGCCUGUGUAAUAGACUUUGGAAAUGAGUGGGAUACUCAUUUACCGUUAAUUGAGUUUUCCUACAACAAUAGUCAUCACACCAGCAUCAAGGCUGCACCGUUUGAGGGUCUUUGUGGACGAAAAUGUCGUUCCCCAGUAUGUUGGGAAGAAGUUGGAGAUACGCAGAUGGCCAGGGAAUGUAUAUGUGAUACCUUACGUACUGGACCAAAAAUAAUCCACGACACAACUGAAAAGAUCAUGCAAAUUAAGGAUCGAUUAAAGGCUGCACGUGAUCGUCAAAAGAGCUAUGCUGACGUAAAACGUAAGCCUUUAGAAUUCCAAGUUGGAGAUAAAGUAAUGUUGAAAGUCUCUCCUUGGAAAGGUGUAAUUCGGGAAGCGAGGCAAACUAAACCCAUGGUAUAUAGGACCUUUUGAAAUUCUGGCAAGAAUUGGUUCUGUCGCAUACCAACUCAAGUUGCCUCAAGAGCUAAGUAAUGUACACGAUAUUUUUCACGUAUCAAGUCUCAAAAUAUGUCUAUCCGAUGACACUCUUUUUUUACCUCUCGAUGAGAUACAAGUCAAUGCCAAACUCAACUUCGUAGAAGAACCUGUCGAGAUCAUGGAUCGAGAAGUCAAACAAUUAAAGCAAAGUCGUAUUCCCAUAGUGAAAGUUCGAUGGAAUUCUUUACGAGGACAUGAAUUUACUUCGGAAUGUGAAGAUCAGAUGAAAUCAAAAUACCCCCAACUAUUUGAUAAAACCUUAUCCACAAGAUAAAUUUCAGGACGAAAUUGUUCUAACGGGGAGAGAAUGUGACACAAGCCAAAAUAGGUCAAUAACAAUCACAUGUGAUUAUGCUAAUAAUGUAAUGUGAUAAAUGUCCUAUGUAUUUCAUGAUAAUUUAUAAUACAAAUAUGAACUUUUUUUAUGAUACAACUCAAAGUAUACGUCCAUACGCUUCCAAAAAUAUAGAGAACGUCUGAAUCUGACUUCGCAUGAAGAAGUUAUGACAAACCGAACACUAUAAAUCUCUAUAAUAAGAGGAAUUUAAAAUAGACUUAGAAUUAGCUAUUUAAUUCUAAAAUAGAGUUGUAGUACUCUUAAAUACCUACGCGUGCAUAUAAAGAACGUCAAAAACGGAGUUCGUAUGUGAAAGUUACGACCUUCCGAAGAUUCAGCUGUCAAAAACCCUAAUCUAACUGAGCUCGCGACGUAAGCACAGGAAUCACGACGUGAAAAGUCAUUUAUCCAUAUCUCGGAAUCUAGAAGGUGUGUGACGAGGCUACAAGGGGAUCAGAUCCAAACUCACGACGUGAGCAAAACUGGAUAUGUUAUAUGUUGUUAUUAUUAGUUUUAUGUCAAGAUAAAACAUGAUAUGUUAUAUGUUGUUAUUGUUAGUUUUAUGUCAAGAUAAAGCCGGAUAUGUUAUAUAUUGUUAUUGUUAGUUUUAUGUCAAGAUAAAACCGGAUAUCUUAUAUGUUGUUAUUGUUACUUGUAUGUCAAGAUAAAACUUGGUAAUGUUAUUGAUAGUUUUAUGUCAAGAUAAAACUAGAAACAUUAUAUGUUGUUAUUAUUGGUUUUAGGUCAAGAUAAAACCUGGUUUUACUUCAAGAUAUAGCUGUUAUACUGCCUAAAUAUUAUGAAGUUAGAAGUAAUGUUUAAAAGCAUAGUCUAGUAACUUAGGGUUUUAGACAUGAAGAUGCUUUUGUUGUUAGAGCUAUAGGAAGCCGUCAAAGUCUACAUGAGUAAUUGUAUUCAUCAACUAAGAUUGGGGAUCUUAGCAGAAAUCCUCUGAACUGUAACCGUUAAUCUUGUGUGACCGAGGAAGUCAUGUAUAAUUAGUAUACGGGUUGACCACCCCACUUGUGACUGUUAGCUACAGUCAACCAAAAGCAAGUGAUGAACUACCCUUUUAUUUGUUAUUGUUCCGGCGUCGAUGAAGCGUACGGUGUUGUUUCUAAUGGUAAAUCAUGAGUGUGUUUGUUUCUCAUGGUAAAUCAUGAGUGUGUUCUAUCAGAGGUAUUAUGUCAUAGCAGCGGUUACAGGCUCAUGGUAGCACAUUGUUAGAAACAUUAUACCUUGUCGUAUACA
rnacentral:lncRNA from 1 species